AAGGGAGACCUAAUUCAGGUAGGAGACGAAAAAAAAGUAGUCCCAACCAAGAAUCAAUCCCAAAAGGUCGGAGCGAGGCGAAAUUGACUUUCAAACUAGGUUCUGGGUUCACACAAGACCUGAAUCAGGAACAAGGGCUAUUAGCUCAGGUGGUUAGAGCGCACCCCUGAUAAGGGUGAGGUCCCUGGUUCGAGUCCAGGAUGGCCCACCUGCACAGGUGGCAAAAACAAGAGAAGCGAGGAAUCAGCACCUUAUCUUAUCUAUAUAUAUAUAGGAGAGAAUGCUGGCUCUGAGUAAAGAGUCCAGAGGAACCUUGAAAACUGCAUAGAGCUAGGUGAAAAAGCCAAAAAAGAAGACCGCAA
rnacentral:tRNA from 2 species